UGGCGGAUGCCUAGGCUUUCAGAGGCGACGAAGGACGUGGUAAGCUGCGAAAAGCUGCGGGGAUUGGCACACACGAAUUGAUCCGCAGAUAUCCGAAUGGGGCAACCCAAUACAUUGAAGAUGUAUUACCUCGUAAGAGGAGCAAACCCGGAGAACUGAAACAUCUAAGUACCCGGAGGAAAAGAAAUCGAAGAGAUUCCGUAAGUAGUGGCGAGCGAAAGCGGAUUAGCCCAAAAGCUUUUAUAUGUUUAAUAGAAUGUUUUGGAAAGAACAGCCAUAGAGGGUGAUAGCCCCGUAAUCGAAAGGCAUACAUAGAUGAUAAAUGAGUAGGGCGGGACACGUGAAAUCCUGUCUGAAUAUGGGGGGACCAUCCUCCAAGGCUAAAUACUCCUGAAAGACCGAUAGUGAACAAGUACUGUGAAGGAAAGGUGAAAAGCACUUCGAAUAGAAGGGUGAAAUAGAACCUGAAACCGUACGCCUACAAGCGGUCGGAGCACCUAUAUGGUGUGACGGCGUGCCUUUUGCAUAAUGAGCCUACGAGUUAAUUUUACUAGCGAGGUUAAGGACUUCAGGUCCGGAGCCGGAGCGAAAGCGAGUCUGAAUAGGGCGAUUGAGUCGCGUGUCCUAGACCCGAAGCGGAGUGAUCUACCCAUGGCCAGGUUGAAGCGCGUGUAAGAGCGCGUGGAGGACCGAACCCACUUCAGUUGAAAAUGGAGGGGAUGAGCUGUGGGUAGGGGUGAAAGGCCAAUCAAACUCCGUGAUAGCUGGUUCUCCCCGAAAUGCAUUUAGGUGCAGCGUUGCGUGGUU
rnacentral:rRNA from 1 species